rnacentral:piRNA from 1 species
AAGAACCCACGUUCUUCUUGGCUCCUAUGU